CCCUCUCUGCUUCUUCUCUGCUGGUUCUCUGCUGGUGCUCGCCUGGUCUUGCUUUCCUUGAAUAGCGCUCGGGGAAAGUAGGACUCCUCAGAAACGCCCGUGAUCUCCAGCCCGGGCGUUCUUCAGAACAGGCUGGAAAAGGGCUGUUGAAGAGACUAGGACAGAUGAGUCGGAGGCUGAAGAAGGAGCGUGAGAUUGAGGCCUCCACAGGGCCAGGCUCAAGUUCACUGACCACCAGGAGCUCCACUCACAUCUUACAGAGUGGAGCCUUGACCAAAUGUAAUGCAGAUGAAUUGGAAGACCCGAGAAGUGACUCAUCCUCUGCACCUUCAUGAGGCUCCGUGGUUUCUGUGGCGGAAGUUUCCCAGACAGUCCUGCCUGUUUUGGAAAUCUGGCUGAGGCUAACACAGGUUCUUUGAUUCCAGUCUUAAUUCUCCUAUCACACUGCACACGGUAAACUUAGCUUUCUGUGGGUGCCUAUUAUGUGUUUAGCAGAGUGAAUGUAAGUGACAGCGGCUACAGCAGAGAAGUGGGCUCUUAGAAAUGUGGGUAGAAUCUGUGUAGAUAAGAAACCUGAGUCCAGUCCUGGGAGGAGGUUGCUGCUGUGGCCCAAGGAAGGUCCUGCCUGAAAGACAGGCUUCGGGGUGGAGUCUAGGUGAGAGUGGAAACAGGUUGGAGCAGGAAAGUGUGUGUGUGUGUGUGUGUGUGUGUGUUCAGCUCCAGCAGGCAGUCCAGUGGGCAGCAGGGGACCAAGCUACCCUGAAGCCCAGGGACAGACAAGCGUUUUUCUCACGGUUGGUCCUCCACACACUGGGUGUCAGGUUGGUGGGCCAUGCCAUGCUAUCUUAGUGUAAGGUGUCUGCCAAUUUAUGGGGUCCAGGGAGUUACACCCUUUCCUUGGUCUGGUAUGGCCAAUAAGUUCUUGGGCCAGGUUUCCCAGAUACGAUUUUAAAAUAUCCAUGUUCCCCCAUCAUCUCAAUCCCCCCUGACAAACUUAGAGUUUGGUUCUAUUCCUGGGAAUAAGCCAUUUAAUAAGUCUGUGUUGCAUGGUUGAUGCCUGACAGAUGGUGAGGUUUGUGGAUUCAUCCUUGGCUACACUCAUCCUUGAGAGGGCACAACUCAGAGGCAGCUCCAUUCCAGCCUGAACAGUGCCCCUUCCUGUGACUACUGUCCAGUCUGAACAGCGGCCCCUUCCUGUGACUACUGUCCAGCCUGAGUAGUGACCCCCUUCCUGUGACUACUGUCCAGCCUGAGUAGUGACCCCCUUUCUGUGACUACUGUCCAGCCUGGACAGCGGCCCCUUCCUGUGACUACUGUCCAGCCUGGACAGCGGCCCCUUCCUGUGACUACUGUCUAGCCUGAACAGCAGCCCCUCCUGUGUAACAAGUUUCAAUUACCUGAAGUCAACAUUAUUAACACCAACCCUGCACAUUCUAGUUUAACCAUUAACCCUGCCUGACCAAACCAGGCCUUGAUCCCUCUGCCAGCCCUGAUCCCCCAGCACUGAUAAACCCCUUACCUGUAAGAGAAGUUCACUGUCUCUUACCUUCUCUGAUAAGAGGCCUUCUCAGGUUUAUUCCAAAACAAACCUGGUCCCUCACCAUUGAGCCUCCUCAGUUUUCUUUUCUCCUUACACCUCUCCUCCCUAAAUAGAGCCCAAAGCUGUCUGUAAAACAGUGUCUCCUAGGGCACAGACUGAAAAAUCACUGUUUUACACACCAUGGAGUAAGUCAGAGCUGGGGCUAGCCUGGCCUCAGGGUCCUUUGUUAAGACAAAAGAGUGUCAGGCUGGAGAGAUGGCUCAGAGGUUAAGAGCACCGACUGUUCUUCCAGAGGUCCUGAGUUCAAUUCCCAGCAACCACAUGGUGGCUCACAACCAUCUGUAAUGAGGUCUGGCGCCCCCUUCUGGCCUGCAGGCGUACAUGCAGACAGAACAUUGUAUACAUAAUAAAUAAAUCUUUAAAAAAAAAAAAAGACAAAAGAGUGUCAUCUCAUAAGCUGUACCUCCUGCUUUUCUCCCACCAUGACCCAUUGAGGGUGUGGCAACUUUGGUUGUAUAUUCAGCACUGUGAAUGAGAGGAAGCUGCUUGCUCCAGGGGUAGCAGUUGGGGGAUUUGGCUUCUCUAGACCUGCCGUGGUCAUGGCUGGACCAAAGGCAUUAACAGCUUUGCACAGCUGUAGCCAACCUAGCCUGGAAGGGCUGUGCUAAUCUGUGACAUCGGAAACCCGGCUAUUUCUCAGUGAAGAAUAUCAAUGUUUUUAAAUUUAUAC